rnacentral:rRNA from 1 species
GACGAACGCUGGCGGCGUGUCUAAUACACGCAAGUCGAGCGAAGUUUUUCUGGUGCUUGCACCGGAAAAACUUAGCGGCGAACGGGUGAGUAACACGUAAAGAACCUGCCUCAUAGACUGGGACAACUAUUGGAAACGAUAGCUAAUACCGGAUAAUAGCAUUAACUGCAUGGUUGAUGUUUAAAAGUUGGUUUUGCUAACACUAUGAGAUGGCUUUGCGGUGCAUUAGCUAGUUGGUGGGGUAAAGGCCUACCAAGGCGACGAUGCAUAGCCGACCUGAGAGGGUGAUCGGCCACACUGGGACUGAGACACGGCCCAGACUCCUACGGGAGGCAGCAGUAGGGAAUCUUCCGCAAUGGGCGAAAGCCUGACGGAGCAACGCCGCGUGAGUGAAGAAGGAUUUCGGUUCGUAAAGCUCUGUUGUUAGGGAAGAAUGAUUGUGUAGUAACUAUACACAGUAGAGACGGUACCUAACCAGAAAGCCACGGCUAACUACGUG